UCGGAUGUGGUGUACGGCGCACACCCGUUUUUCGUGUGGUUGAAAUGCAGAGGAAAACGUGAAAGCGGGAGGUCUGGGUUCGAUUCCCGGCGUUUGAA